rnacentral:rRNA from 1 species
UACGGGGGGGGCAAGCGUUGUUCGGAAUCACUGGGCGUAAAGCGCACGUAGGCGGGUUGUUAAGUCAGGGGUGAAAUCCUGAAGCUCAACUCCAGAACUGCCUUUGAUACUGGCAAUCUUUGAGUCCGGGAGAGGUGGGUGGAACUGCGAGUGUAGAGGUGAAAUUCGUAGAUAUUCGCAAGAACACCAGUGGCGAAGGCGGCUCACUGGCCCGGUACUGACGCUGAGGUGCGAAAGCGUGGGGAGCAAACAGG